ensembl:lncRNA
AUACAGUGCACAUAUCUCAUACACAUAUUUAUGACCAAUAAAUAUAUUAUACUUUUAUAUACCUAUGAUAGUUUUUCUGUUAUAACAUAGUGUAAAUACCAUUCAUAUUGUUAUCUACUCAAUGGCUAUUGCGCAUAUUCACAGCCCAUAGCCUUGUUAUUUAUUUGCUAUCUAUAUUACAUAUUCAAUCAGCACUUUGUUAAUUUGCACAACACUAUUAUUUGCACUUCUGGUAGAGGUGAAACUGCAUUUGGUUGCUGAGUACCUCGUAUCUCCAAUGACAACAAAGUACACUCGGAAUGAGGGGCCAGUUCAUCCCAGAGCACCAUGUACACACACACACAGUCACCAAUCCACCUAUCAGCAGGUUUUUUGGCAGCCAUGAGGAAAUCAGAGAACCCAGAAGAAACCAAAGCAGAUGCUGAGAGAAUAUAGAAAACUCCACAUAGACACUGAGCUCAGGAUUGAAGCAGUGACCCUGGAGCUGUGAGGCAGCAACGUUACCUUACAAAUUCUUACAAACAAGAAGAAAAAUUAUUUUAGAGAAAUACAAGUGCAAGAGAAACACUAACUCUGCACUAACCUUUGUAAUAUUUCAUAGUCAUGUCAGGUAAAUUUCAAUGAAUUUGCAGCUGUGGUUUUACAUAAGAUGAGUGGAUAUUACUCAGAUGAAUACAAAUGCCAUCUACUGAUUUUGAAUUUGUGCCAUUGGGUGCAAGAAUAUAUUUUUAUGGAGUGUGGAAUUGCUUUGGCAAAUCUGUUGAAAAGCUUUACAGCUUAAUAAAAGAGCGAAGUCACCUUGCUAUUCAACCAUUAAAAACCCAAAAGAGCAUUAUUACUCUGAAUUUAGUUGAGUCCUGUGAUGGGCAUUUGACAUUUUCAGAGCAACUGGUGGGUGUGUUGGUGGUUAAAUAUAAACAGCAAGUUUGUGGCAUUGAUUAUUUGAGACAAUCUUUGGAGUGGAGAAAUAAGAGCCUGCCAAAAAGAUAAAUGAUCUCAGGGUUGGUUUCAUCACGGCAAAGGCCAACGCUCCCUUCUACCACCAUUUGUGCUUCUAGUAGUAUUAAAGUUUAAAAGUAAGUUGUACAAAUGACCUGCUGGAGCUUCUAUCUCCCAAAUGGCAAGUCGAAAAGGAACAACUCUGAUAUAUCACAGCUUGGAGUUAGAGAGAAACUUGAUUCGCCAGGCUGUUACACUAGAUUUAUUAGUUGCUGUAUUUCUCUAGCGUCAACUGAUGUUCCAUAAGCCUGAGCCUCCGGGGUUUCGGGUGGCCUCUCCCCCCCCCGGCAGCUGAUGGAAAAGUGUUUGGAUGCCGGUCUAUUCAUGUGAGGGUGUUAAACACAACAGAUUAAGACGCUCUGCAAACCUCCAAAGCUAGCAUUAGGCCACUUAUCAUAUUAGUUUGGCUAUACUAAUCCAUCUGAUAUGGUGUGUCUGCUUCCACUCCCAUGCUCCACCUUCGACAUGGUAACAACUCUGUAACACGAGCGGCAUCAAAGCACGUAAACGUGGAGAACUUCAGCAUCCUGGAUUCCUGCGCUAAACCCGGUUUUGGCUUCCACUUUGUGCUGGGACGGGGGAACCUAAAUCUGCACAUGCCUUGGCAUUUCACACAGCAGCAAGCUUAAACACUUGUUCAGCACUGCUUGUUGUAGUGUGUGUGAGGUAAACAGGUGUAAGUCUGAAGGAGUUUCGAGUCAGUUCAUGUAGUGAAAGGUCAAAUGACUGAUUUCUGUUAAAGGUGCCUGGUCUUAAGCUUCAUGAUGCCAUGUGGAAGUGAAAUAUGACUGAGGAUGGCUUAAUGAUUGGUUAACAGUGAUAUGAAUACACUUUGGGAUGUUACUAAAGAUACUGAAGUAUCAAUAUCCACAUAUGUUUAGUCAGAUAUUCUGUAUCGGCAUAGUGGUCAUAGUUGGAGGAUGACACUGCUCACUGAGCUUUGCCUACUAUAUCACAUUGCAAACAACGUGUCACACUUAACCUUUAUUGAUUUAUAUCAGUAAAUGUUGCUUAAACUACCAUCAAAUCCUUGCAAAGCACUUCCAUAUAAAACCUCUAACCUACUCUCCUGUUAAACAGCGCAAGGCUGAUUACACCUUUACACCUUACUUAACCUAAGUUGUUUUUUUUUAACUACCUUUUAUAUUGCAGCCACCAUCUAGAUCAUUUACUUCAUUUUCAUAGCAGCGGUACAAAUAAUUACAGGCACCUAGAAUCAGCUGAAUGUCAUACCUGAAGCAAGCACAUGCUUCCUGAUAUUACGAUACAAGAAAGAAGCUGAAGGGGGAAAUGUGAUGGAGAAGGAAAAAUCAGUCGGGUUUGUUCCCUGGCCAUAUGAGAAAAAGUUAAUGGUGAAGAGUGAACACAAGGUGGACCAUCUAUACGAUCCAUGCUGCAUCUUGCCAGGAAGCAUUGAUGUUAGGACACUCUCUCUCUCUCUCUCUCUCUCUCUCUCUCUCUCUCUCUCUCUCUCUCUCUCUCUCUCUCUCUGUACCUAUGUGUGUGUGUGUCACUAGAUCACUACACUCUGUUCCCUUGUGUAUGUCACAUGUGGGAUUUCUUUGAGAUUGAACAAAGUGGUUAACAUUGUACACUGCCAUUCAUAAAGUAUUCUUAGAGUGAUUUUUGGCCAAGUGCUGUCUUCUAGCAGCAAACUCUAAAAAUCUGGCAGAGAAUUACUGUAACAUAUAACAUUGUACAGACAACUUAAAGUAUAAAUACAGCACAAGUGAAAAAACAGUAGUGUUUACCAUCAACAAAGGAAAAGUAGAAAUUGUAGACCUGUGGAAAAACUGCAUACAUUUCAAAUGUGAUUAAUAUGUGAUCGCCAUUAAAACAUUUGAUUGUUUUCAAUACAUUUCAAUGUGUUAUGCUCUGAAAUAGCACAUGCGAGCUCAAGUAAACACAUACGACAUAAUGUGAAUAGUGUAUCAUGUGUAGAGUCAUUUAUUUAUCAUUUUGCACACAUACACUGAGUAUACUAG